rnacentral:rRNA from 1 species
GUGGGGAAUUUUGGACAAUGGGCGAAAGCCUGAUCCAGCCAUGCCGCGUGCAGGAUGAAGGCCUUCGGGUUGUAAACUGCUUUUGUACGGAACGAAAAGACUCCUUCUAAUAAAGGGGGUCCAUGACGGUACCGUAAGAAUAAGCACCGGCUAACUACGUGCCAGCAGCCGCGGUAAUACGUAGGGUGCAAGCGUUAAUCGGAAUUACUGGGCGUAAAGCGUGCGCAGGCGGUUAUAUAAGACAGAUGUGAAAUCCACGGGCUCAACCUGGGAACUGCAUUUGUGACUGUAUAGCUAGAGUACGGUAGAGGGGGAUGGAAUUCCGCGUGUAGCAGUGAAAUGCGUAGAUAUGCGGAGGAACACCGAUGGCGAAGGCAAUCCCCUGGACCUGUACUGACGCUCAUGCACGAAAGCGUGGGGAGCAAACAGGAUUAGAUACCCUGGUAGUCC